GGAUUUCCAAGUGAGGCACCAAAAGAGGCCAGAAGAAAGUGUCAGAUCUGCAGGAGCUAGAAUUGCAGAUGGCUGUGAGCAGCCUGGCAUGUGUUUUAGGAACCAAACCAAGGUCUUCUGCAAGAGCAAAGUUGCUGGUGAUGAGGAAGAGUGCAUGAAGGACAGAAGGAAGCACUUCUGGCGACAGGAAGAACAAGACAAAGGGGCAUCUAUCUUCUCAUUACAAGGUGAAGGGGAAAGCAUGGCACAGGAGUCAACAGCAGGGCUGGAAUGGGGGAGCAGAACAGAAGUUCCCAAAAGGCUUUGAAAAGACAGAGCCCUGUCCAAACAGGGUCAUAACAACCAGGACUGCACUCUAACCUGAAUACAAAGAAAUACACAGAAUGCUUCCAAGCAAAGGAUCAUGUGACAUGUGACGACAUUCUAAGCCUCUGUUAUGUUUUCAAUGUGAAAUGUCCCCCUUAGGCUCAUGUGUUUGACAACUUGGCGGCGCUACUUGGGAAGGUUGGGUCUGUUUAGGAGGUGGGGUCUCACGGGAGGAAGUACAUUACAGGGGAUGGGAUUUGAGGUUUUAUAGACGAUAAGUCUAACUUGCUGUUUUCUUGAUGCUUCCUGAGUGUAGAUACACUGUGACAAGGCAGCUUCCUGGUUUUGGCCAUCAUGCUUUUCCUGCCAGGAUGGAUGCUAUCCUUCUGGAACUAUAAGCCAAAAUACUUUUUCUCCCUUAAGAUGUUUUUGUCAGAGCAUUUCCUUACUGAAACAAAGGAGAAAUUAAUAUACCCUUUAAAUGUGGUUUUUUUUUUCCUGUUGGAAAUGUAAACUACAAGUUCAAUGAAAGUGUACACAUUAAGCCAAGUGCAUACAACUCAAGUCCCAACUAUUUGAGAGACAAAGAUAAAAGGAUUCUAGAGGUUCAAAGCCAACCUCACCUUAUCUCUGUACAUAACAAGACCUUAUCUCAAAAGAAAGCCACAGACACCAUAGGGGAUGUAUUAAGAGAGCACACACAGCCAUCCCAUCCAUCCCACUACCCAUCAGUUCUGAAUGCCCAUCAACAAGGACCUGGCAGGUGCACACGUAAUGCAUCUGGGGAAAAGACUGAAGCAAUGAAGUCCAUAAUCUCUUUAGGAAAGAAAGACAGCCGUAGAACAAUAGGAUUUCCAUGUCCUGGGUGAAAAGUGACGGCAUUGUAUGAAGGCUGCUUUUAACAGGAAAAGGAAGGUUUGUUUCUGCACAAAGUGUCGCCGGAAGAAUGUAUAAGAAAGCGGUCCUCUUCUGGACGAGGACACAAAUGGGACCUGCCGUGGGAAGCUUACUUCACUCCCAUUUGAUCUUUUGCUGUAUUGCUUGAAUCCUAUGCUAUGUGUAUACCUGUUUUAAAAUAUUAGAAGCACAGAUUAAAACCAUACAUCGCAGCUUGUUCUAUGGACAUAUUUCUCUUUCCAUGCCCACCUGCCUGCUCAAAAAUGGCUCUACAUUCUGUCUGCUCUAUAAGCCUCCACCCUUAGAUCCAUAGUCAUUCCUAGACUGUGUGGCCCUGGGCACACUCAUUUUUUCUCAAUUAUUUUUUUGUCUGCUUUUCCUGCUCUAUAUUUGUUUUGAGACAGAGUCUCAUGUAGCCCAGACUGCCCUUGAAUUUUUUGUGUACUUAAGGAUGGCCUUGCACUUUUGAUCCUCUUGCCUGUAGCUCCCUGGUGCUGAGAUUACAAGCAUGCACCCCUGUGCCCAGUUUAUAUGAUGCUGGAUCGAUUCCAUGGCCCUAUGUUUGCUAGCACACUGUCAACUGACUGUACCCUCAGGCGCCCUCAACUACUUCUUCAUUAAUUGAAGCUAAUGCUUGGGGAAAUGUUCAGAGCCUCAUGGGAAAGCCUCUGCUUGAACUCUGUGCUGCUGAUAAACUUACUCCAUCGUGGCCAAUAACAAACCGUAUCUUUCUGGAGUUUGUUUACCGCUCUAGUGUCCUAAUCGCUUCCUCAGUCAUCCCAUGCUUUUCUUGUCCACAGACUACUGGGUCAAAACCCCUAAAGAACUAAUGUGUAAUUUUUACAAUUAAAACAAAAAAGAAACGACUAAGCUUUGGGAAGUAAAGAUGAGAACGAUGUCUAAGAACUCACGCUUGAAGGCAGGUGUGCCUUGGAGACUCUGAGUCCCAAGUACAAGAAGGACCUCUGUCUCAUAUGCCUUUGACUCCCAAAUGCUCGCUUUGCCCUAUAGUCUCAGCUCAGAAAAUAGAGUAGGAGGUAAAAUACAUUUUUGGAGAUGCAUUUUUCUAUGCUAUUGCUGUUUCAUCACAGAAGUUAAUCUGGAGCAGAAUCGGCCUUGCCAUCAACCUGCAGAAAUCUGGACCUCAAGUGUUUCACAAAAUAACAGUUUGCAUCCACUCUUAACCUGUAAUGUUGGUGCUGUCGUCUUCAACUUCAUGUUUUUAUUUGUUCUAUCUCCUCUAAACCCAAAAUAUGAAACAAAAAUUACGAUGUUCUUAUUUAACUGAGAAAGGAGAAUGCAAGCUGUUAAACCAAGGACCUUUCUUAAAAUGUCUUCCAACACUUUAUGCGAUCAGUCAUAAUAUUUAUAUGUACUCAAGCACUUUGAAAUCUCAAGCUGUUUGAACCAGCUGUCAUGUUUGUGUCAAACUGCGGUCAUUUGAAUGUGAAACAAGGGUCAAUGGCAAGGGUGGGGGCGGUAUGUCUUCUUCCCUUCCUAUUAGUGAAAUCAUUUACAGCUAUGGAACUCUGCUUCAGUGCUCCAGCAAUGAGUCCCUGCUGCAGAUUCCUGUUAUCUAGGUCACAUGGAAUUUCAUAAUUGUUCGCAAGCAAACUAUGUAGAAGAAAAGUGUUAAAUUAAUAUGAAAAUAACUAUCAACAACCAAAUAUACACACUGACCAGUCCUGUAUAUGUAUUUUUGGUAUUAACCAAGACACAUUUAUAUCUGAGACUGAUUUCUAGUAUGAAUGUAAUGUCAAUUGAUUUCUGUCUUUUUGAAUAUGUCUAAAAGAAAAUGCAUGGUGACUUUUUAUUGCCUAUUUCAGGAUUUGUAAAAAAAA